rnacentral:misc_RNA from 1 species
GUAGGUGAACCUGCGGAAGGAUCAUUAGUGAAUUUAGCGCAGUUGCUUGCAACGCGUGACCCCACUCUAUACACUGUGCACUCAUUGGCGGAGAGAAAAAUUGGUACUUGUACCGAUUCAACUUUCUGCGGCUCACUUUAAACACCAGUCAAAGUAUGUAUAUAAAUAAAAUAAGAAAAACUUUCAACAACGGAUCUCUUGGCUCUC